CUGGAGCUUUUCUUCUCAUACAUGUAUCAUAACCGUGUGGACUUGACAGGCAUUAACACGGUGUUCAUUUCUCUCCUUCCUAAAAAGGAUACACCACUGGAGCUGCGGGACUUUAGGCCUAUCACCAUUGUUCACAGCAUACCAAAGCUGGCCAGCAAGGUUCUUGCCCGCAGAUUGCAGUGUCAGAUACCGGAUCUUAUUCACUCCUUCUAG
rnacentral:rRNA from 1 species